rnacentral:rRNA from 1 species
GAUGAACGCUGGCGGCGUGCUUAACACAUGCAAGUCGAACGGGAUCCCAGGGGUGCUUGCCCUUUUUGGUGAGAGUGGCGAACGGGUGAGUAACACGUGAGUAACCUGUCCUUUUCUUUGGGAUAAGCAUUCGAAAGGGUGUUUAAUACCUUAUGUUCUGUCUGCCUCGCAUGGGGUGGGUGGGAAAGGCUUUGGCCGGAUUUGGGUGGGCUCGCGGUCUAUCAGCUUGUUGGUGGGGUGAUGGCUUACCAAGGCUUUGACGGGUAGCCGGCCUGAGAGGGUGGUCGGUCACAUUGGGACUGAGAUACGGCCCAGACUCCUGCGGGAGGCAGCAGUGGGGGAUAGUGCACAAUGGGCGAAAGCCUGAUGCAGCGACGCCGCGUGGGGGAUGAAGGCCUGCGGGUUGUAAACUUCUUUUGCUCUGAACAAGGCAUGCCAGUGGGUGUGUUGAGUGUAGGGGUUGAUUAGCGCCGGCUAACUACGUG